UCGGUAUUAGAUGGUGCAAGUGAGGG
rnacentral:piRNA from 1 species